ACUCCUACGGGAGGCAGCAGUGGGGAAUAUUGCACAAUGGGCGCAAGCCUGAUGCAGCCAUGCCGCGUGUAUGAAGAAGGCCUUCGGGUUGUAAAGUACUUUCAGUUGUGAGGAAGGGGGUAGUGUUAAUAGCGCUAUCUCUUGACGUUAGCAACAGAAGAAGCACCGGCUAACUCCGUGCCAGCAGCCGCGGUAAUACGGAGGGUGCGAGCGUUAAUCGGAAUUACUGGGCGUAAAGCGUACGUAGGCGGCGUGUUAAGCAAGAUGUGAAAGCCCCGGGCUCAACCUGGGAAUUGCAUUUUGAACUGGCAUGCUAGAGUCCUGAAGAGGGUGGUAGAAUUUCCAGUGUAGCGGUGAAAUGCGUAGAUAUUGGAAGGAAUACCAGUGGCGAAGGCGGCCACCUGGUCAGAGACUGACGCUGAGGUACGAAAGCGUGGGGAGCAAACAGGAUUAGAUACCCUGGUAGUCCACGCCGUAAACGAUGUCAACUAGUUGUUCGUGUCAUUAAGACGUGAGUAACGCAGCUAACGCACUAAGUUGACCGCCUGGGGAGUACGGCCGCAAGGUUAAAACUCAAAGGAAUUGACGG
rnacentral:rRNA from 1 species